rnacentral:rRNA from 1 species
UACGUAGGCAGCAAGCGUUGUUCGGAGUUACUGGGCGUAAAGGGGGCGUAGGCGGCUUUUUAAGUUUGGUGUGAAAUCUCCCGGCUCAACUGGGAGGGUGCGCCGAAUACUGAGAGGCUAGAGUGUGGGAGAGGAAAGUGGAAUUCCUGGUGUAGCGGUGAAAUGCGUAGAUAUCAGGAGGAACACCGGUGGUGUAAACGGCUUUCUGGACCAUAACUGACGCUGAGGCACGAAAGCGUGGGUAGCAAACAGG